GGGGCUGAUUCUGGAUUCGACGGGAUUCGCGAAACCCAAGGUGCAUGCCGAGGGGCGGUUGGCCUCGUAAAAAGCCGCAAAACAAUAGUCGCAAACGACGAAAACUACGCACUGGCAGCUUAAUAACCUGCGCAGAGCCCUCUCUCCCUAGCCUCCGCUCUUAGGACGGGGAUCAAGAGAGGUCAAACCCAAAAGAGAUCGCGUGGAUGCCCUGCCUGGGGUUGAAGCGUUAAAUCCAAUCAGGCUAGUUUGUCAGUGGCGUGUCUGUCCGCAGCUGGCAAGCGAAUACAAAGACUAGACUAAGCAUGUAGUACCAAGGAUGUAGGAAUUUCGGACGCGGGUUCAACUCCCGCCAGCUCCACCA
rnacentral:tmRNA from 1 species